AAAACAGUAUUCCAUUGAAACUGUAUUUAAGUUGAAAUUUUAAAGAAAAAAAUCGACUUAUAUCCAUAGAGGAAUAAGAACGGAGG
rfam:Clostridium roseum strain DSM 7320 CROST_contig000075, whole genome shotgun sequence.